rnacentral:lncRNA from 10 species
GUCGCGGCGGCUACGCCCACCUGGACCCAGUUUACCCUGUACUGUGCUGCAAAAUAUUACUUUCUCCCCAUCUGGAAUUCUUCCCUUCCUCCUUCCUGCCGCAGUGGUGUACUGAGCACUUUCACGUAAGAGUAUUCCUCCACUCGAACAACCCCCCGGAGAAGUACUGGUGUCACUGCCACCUGCGAGAGUUUGCGGCUACCUCCCCAAGAGGCAGUCCCAGGGUUAUUGUGACCUAUGAUGUUUAUUCAACUACUGUUGACGGGCUGCUGUGCACAGGGAACCUAGUAGGCAAGACCCCUGCCAUCGUGCAGCUUACUGUCAGGUUGACACAGACCUUAAGGCAGAAUGAAGGAACAAGACAGCAAAGAAUGUGACUGGCCCCA